UCGGGUUUUGAUUACUCUUAGCAGUUUUACAUCAUCUGCAAACAAAUUAAUAUAACUUUACCCCAUUUUGAAUGUCGUUUAAAUAUACCUGUGAUCACAGUUCUCAUCUCUCUGUCCUUCAAAUAAUCCCUUAUCCAAUCUAAUCAAGUUCCUUGCAGUGUGUUCACGAUCGGCCGCUGGUCACCCAGCCAGCGCAUUACGGAGCAAGCUCAGAGCUCAUAGACAGAUCUGCGAGUGGGACUGAGACUACGCCACACUCUACACACCGGAAAGCGAGGCCAGUACCCCUCGAGUUACAUCACGUACCUACCUGCUUCAAGAGCAAAAGCCAGCCAGCCAGCCUUCUUUGCAACAUCUGCCACCUUGCACUACAAUAUAACUAUAGCAUACCUACCACAAAUAACCACGAGCAGGCCAGCAAGCCUAUCAUGGCAAUAAGAUAGUGUCAUCCUUCUCUACAUUAUAUUUAACAGUAUUUAAUAACUUUUUAGUUUUACUUAUGCUCCACUUUAUGUGACUAAACUUGGGUAUAUUAUUAUACUCUUACACCAUUAGCAA